GUGUGAUUAGUCAACUUUUUAGCAUGAAUUGAGCUUACAUCCAACAGAAGUAACAUUCAAGCAACAAUAAGUUUUUUCUCUUUGUAUAAGAAGUAACAAACAAUUCAGAGAUUUGUGCUAUGCCAACAUUUUGAUUUAUCAAAGAUUGUAAACAAAUAGAUAAACUAUUUGGGGCAAAUAAAGAUGAAUUGGAGAAAAAAGAAAAAAGAAAACUCAGUUCUAUUCCAGUAAUAAAUUGUAAAAUUUGAAUUUCUUUGUUCACAAUAAUCCAUUUUAUUAUGCUAUUCAUUAGAUUUUAAAAGAAAUAAGUUUGUCUUUGGAAUGAUAUUAAUGCAAGAUUGAAUGAAUUUAUUACAAUGACUACAAAACAUAAUAAUACAUGUUUAAUACUUUUUGAUUAUGUCUUCUGGGUAUAAUUUUAUAACAAAAUUUCAUUACAGUAAUCUAUUGAGUUAGAUCUUACAAUAUUAAUAUGAAAAAAAAUUAUGAAAUUUUUAAAAAUUAGGGAUUAUAGUUUAAUUUCAAAGCUUUUGUAUUUUUUGAAAGAAGUAGAACGGUUGAGUUAUUGCUCAACAACUUACCAUCCUAAGGAAGUUUAAGGUAAUUUUAAACAAGUUUUUAUUCUAAGAUAUUAAUAAUUUUUUAUAUUUUAACAACUAAUUUCUUUACUAAAAUAAGUUUUAUAUUACAUCAUUUUGUAUAGAUAUUAAUUUUUUUUAGUGUUUGAACAAUGUUAAAUUCCUUAAAUCUACUAUAACUUCGACUCUCUUUAUAUAAUGUUUUUAUUAAAAUAUUUUAUUGCAUAUGAUAUUUAUUAUUAAAAAUAAAUAAACAAGAAUCAUUUUAAAAUUUAAAUGAUUAUUUAUGCAAAAGGAUUUUAUUUACUUCUAUUAAAAGUUUAAAAUAGCAUGUUUUUACUGUGAUUUUUUCCAUUCAAAAAAAAUACUAACAAUGGCCCUAGAUAUUCUACCAAAACCAUGAUAUUUGUUUGGUCUGCUUCUUUUCUUUCUUGCUUACUUUGUUGAAACAAAUAAAAUACACAAUUGAAGUAAUAAUUUGUUCAGGAAGCUUAGUUAUUAUUAAAGAAUUAUUUUGAUAUAAGCCAUCACGUACAUUUUUGGAUAAUACAUUCAAAAUUAACCCUCCUUAUUGCAUAAAUAAUAGAAUUAAGAAAGCAGUAAAAUAAUAUUAAAACUAAAAUCAACCAAAUUCAAAUCUUAAACUUGGUUGUCUUUAUAUGUACAAACAUACCUUCUAUAUAUACGUACAUAUGUAUCAAACGUAAUCAUUAAGAAAGCUAAAUAAUCAUUGAGUCCUAAAUGUUCUUUUAUUAGUGCAAAAAAUAAUUAUUAUGUUUUGGCUAAUAUAUAAUAUUACUGAAAAAAAUCAUAUUUUAUAAGGGCAACUAAAACAUGAUAAUUUUUCAUUCAAUAUUAAUUUUUUUAUAUUAUAAUGACAUGAUAUAAAUACUCUUUGUUUUACCAUAAUGACCUUUUUUCGCAGAAUAAUUAAUUUUGCUUAAUUUUCAUUAACUAAGAGUGUUGGUUUGCAAUUCCUGGUAAUUUAGAAUUUAGAAUAGAUUGCAAGCAAUUGCAAACCUGUAAUGCACAUUCAAAUAUAAAUUUCAAUUUCAAGAUUUAUUCCUUUCAAGAAUUUCAAAAAUAAAUUUUGUCAAAAUCUUUAAUUUUCAUUGAACAUAAUAUAUUUCCUUACUCAAAAUUAUACCCAUUCAACAAACUUCAAGGACAGACUUUUUAGUCAAUUGCAAAUAUCAAUAACACACAUCAAUUUUACCAUGUUAAUAUCAAUUUAAUUUAUGCUGAGUAUUUUAUUGUCAUUGUUACAAUAGUUAUAAUCUCUCUCUCUCUAUAUAUAUAUAUACCAAAAAAAAAAACAUUUAUAACAUAAACAUUCUUUGAAACUGUUGAUUUUGAUUUUUGUUUCAGGAAUAAAAAUUACAAUAAAUCUAUCACAAUUUCAAUAUCCUUUGUGAAGGGCACAAUGGUUAACAAUCCUCGAAUGUUUACAUUGGAAUAUUGGUGAAUAUUUGCAGAUUUUACAAGUCAAUUGUAACACUAGAUAUCACAAUAAUAUGACUUUUUGAGAAUAUUCGAUGUAUAUAUAUAGAGAGAACAAAUAAAAAUAGUUGUGAUAGCAGGAACAAAAAUUGAGGUGGGAUGUGUUAGAAUCUCGUGGCAGUAGCCAAAACUGUAGUGCUGGUAGCAACACCCUAUUUAUAUAAUUUUUGAUGAAACCCACAAAAACAGUUUAAUAUAACAUUGAGCAGUUGUUCAUUAAAAAAUAGAAACUCAACUGACAAACUUGGAAAUGAAAUCCCAUUUAUUUUAAAAAUAUUACAGUCAAUAGCAUAUAUAUAUAUAUAUAUAUAUAUAGAAUGAACUAGUAGAGUGGCUGUACUUACAUGACAGUGUUUUGUGUUCUAAUUAUAGAUGGAUGGCAUCGACAAGGGCGCAUGUUCAUCUUGCCAUCACUGUAUCAAGGAUGACCAUAAAAUCGACAAAGAAUGUAGUAAAACCAUUUUUGGAGGUGAACAGUUGAGGAGUAAAAUAGCCUUGUGUGGUAAAUAAAAAAAAAUAGGUGACAUUAAGUAAAGACACAAUUUAGACACGAGUAGGAUCUUACAUCCUACAUGAAAGAAGUUGUUUUGACAUUUUAUAAAUUAUUAUUUUUUGAACAUUGGAUUUAAUUUAUUAAUCAAGCAAAGAAAAAUACAGAUGUGAGUAGCGGAAUGUGAUUUACCUCCAAACUUCAGUCAGAUUGUGAAUGACCACAAGAUUGAAAUGGUUCCAGGAAUCAAAUCAUCUUCACAAGUGCCAUGUUGAUAAAGUAAAAUGGAUACUGUUGGGCAGAUACAAGUUUUAAGAUGUCAGAGUGUGCAAAAACCCUGAUUCCACCAGUUUGUUGUAAAAAUAUCAUCAUAUUUGCAUUGUGUGAAACAACAUCAAAAAAUUGCAUGAUUCAUUCAAUAUGAAUUUCACAAGUUUUUAGUGAUGACUCUUGAAUGAUGCAAACCCUUGUUAACAGUAAAUAAAAUAAAAAUAAAAAUAAAACACAGCAGCAUAUCCACAUAUGUACACAAUUUUAAAGAUUGGUAUACUUCUUAUUUGAGAGCAGACCCCCAUAGCCCACAUCAGUUAAGGUGAGGCAAUGUUGACAUUGAAGUGGUUGUGUGGACAACAACAACUAAGUGCAUUAAAGAGUAUAGAAUUAUCAUUGCCAACUUGCAUUUGACACCAAAAAGGUGUAGAAAACUCGUGCUAUACACAAACCCUAAACCUCUUCAACCCUUACAUUCUGAGUAUGACCCAAGUCAAGCUUUUGGAAUGAUAGCCUGGUACCAAAGGCAGGAUUACCACCAGCGCAGCCAAUCUUGAUAAACUCUUGUAUACCUUAAUUGAACAUCCAGUCAAAUACUACAAGUGGGUACUGAGCCUGGAAACAAGCACUCCAAUCGGAAAACCCUGCUUCGUGAAGUCCCAGCAAGAAGACCACCACCUCAUCUGAUAAGAUUCUGGAAGCUUCCAGAAACUCUUCAGUGUUGGUAUUGGCCCCAAGUGAGGCCAUGAAAAUCAAAAGAACACGAACUAGAAGUGAAGUAAAAGUUCCCCGCACGCAAGAUAUUUCUCUGCUAUAAUAAAUUGAUCCAUCCCUUAGUACACGUGGAGGACAAGGUCCUAAGGGGG
rnacentral:lncRNA from 1 species